rnacentral:lncRNA from 1 species
AACACGCCACCUCUGAAUUCCCCUCCUCUCUCAAAUCCUCUCUACAACACCCUCAAACCCUAGUCGCAGCCACUCUAAUCCUCCCUAAUCCAUGGCUUUCCAAGGUCAUCGGAGACCUAUAUUAACCUCUCAUGGUUUCUACGUGUUCGUUUUUGUGGUCUCAUGACCAGAUCCUGAAGGGGUUUUGUCCAGUCUUUGCUCGAUGACUGCUUUCCAGUCGUCUCUAACCUUUCUUGGACCAGCCAUGGCUAUUCGAGUAGACCUUUGACUCUCCUGCUUAGAUCGAUAUCUUUCGGGGCCUUUCUCAUCACUUGGGGUUCUUCUGAAACCCUAAUCUGUAAGGUUCUUUCGAUUUCUUUCAGAUCUGCUUCAGAUGUAUGUUUGCUUUGAACUUCUAAGAACUUUUCUCGAAGUUUCUUUUAAAACUUUGCUUUUAAAACUCCUUAUUUUUUCCGAUUAGGGUUCUUGUUAAGUUAUUUCAAAACUUUUCUAAGAUUUUUUGACAUGUUUUUGCUAUGUUUGCUCAUAUUGUUCUUAUACCUUAAUUUGUAUGUUAAAAGCCCUAAUUUCUUUUGACGUUUUAUUAGAGGAAUGCUUGUUUUCUUGAGUUUUGUUUUAUUUGUUUGUUUAUCCUUUUUAAAAACUCUACUAUUGUUGAAAACCCUAUGGUUUUGGGUCUGAGACUGUUCGUUUAAGUGCAUGACUCGAUUUGAAGUUAUUUAUUUCAAAACCUAUUAUUCCUUUAUGUGAUUCUUCUUAUUCUGGGUUUCUAUCGUCUCUAAAACUCAGUUAUGCUCGAAACCCUAAUUUUUCAAAAAGAGUUUUCUUCACCUGCUAUUGUGAGAUCUUCACAUGCUUUUGACAUUCUAUGUUUUCUUCACUACUGAUUCAAUGUGACCUGACCUACUGGACUAUCAUGCUUUGAAUGUUGCUAUCUACUGAUUUUUUGUGCUACUAUUGCAUGCGAUUUCGUUUUUACCAAUAGGCUUGGCCUAACAUGAAUAGUGUUUGUGCACUCUAUUUAUAUGCUGAGUUUCCUUCUGUGAUUGAUCUUCAAACUUGUGGCUGAUUUCAAACUUUUCCUUUGUGAAAUUCUGAUUUCACCCGCCUGUUAAGGUUAAUUGAUUUCUUUUCCUAUUUUACCUUACUGAAUCCUUUCCAAAAUUAGUGUAUUUCUGGACCUAGACUCGAUUGCUUACUUAAUGUUCUACUACUUCUUUUAUGGUAACUAUCAGCCUGCUUACAAGUUUAUUUCUUUCAUUAUUUUGAACCUGUCACUGCCCGUUAAGAAAGUGAUUCCUUAGAUUAAUGCAAUCACUUGUAUAAUUGAUUCAUUGCGAUUGUUUCCAUGUUUAUAGCUUAUUACUUCUCUUUUUCUCAUUUUUAGAAAGCUAUAAAUACAUGUACUUCUUUUCUUUCAAACACACGAACAUAAGGCAUAAAACACUUGGAUUCAAACACACACUCCAAUAAAAAUCUCUCUCUUUUUUCUGUUUCUACUUGUAUUACUG